rnacentral:rRNA from 1 species
ACGGAGGGUGCAAGCGUUAAUCGGAAUUACUGGGCGUAAAGCGCACGCAGGCGGUUUGUUAAGUCAGAUGUGAAAUCCCCGGGCUCAACCUGGGAACUGCAUCUGAUACUGGCAAGCUUGAGUCUCGUAGAGGGGGGUAGAAUUCCAGGUGUAGCGGUGGAAUGCGUAGAGAUCAGGAGGAAUACCGAAGGCGAAGGCAGCCCCCUAAGCGGAAACUGACGCUGAACUGCGAAAGUGUGGGGAUCAAACAG